GAUGAACGCUAGCGGCAGGCCUAACACAUGCAAGUCGAGGGGUAGAGUUAGCUUGCUAACUUGAGACCGGCGCACGGGUGCGUAACGCGUAUGCAAUCUGCCUUGUACUGAGGGAUAGCCCAGAGAAAUUUGGAUUAAUACCUCAUAGUAUUAUUGAAUGGCAUCAUUUGAUAAUUAAAGUUCCAACGGUACAAGAUGAGCAUGCGUCCCAUUAGUUAGUUGGUAAGGUAACGGCUUACCAAGACAAUGAUGGGUAGGGGUCCUGAGAGGGAGAUCCCCCACACUGGUACUGAGACACGGACCAGACUCCUACGGGAGGCAGCAGUGAGGAAUAUUGGUCAAUGGGCGCAAGCCUGAACCAGCCAUGCCGCGUGCAGGAUGACGGUCCUAUGGAUUGUAAACUGCUUUUAUACGGGAAGAAACACUCCUACGUGUAGGAACUUGACGGUACCGUAAGAAUAAGGAUCGGCUAACUCCGUGCCAGCCGCCGCUGUAA
rnacentral:rRNA from 1 species